CUAGGUAUUCUGGGGCCAUAUAUCCCCUGUGAAAUUGUAAAAAUCAUAUCUCAGCAAAUGAUGGCUACUGACUUGGUUAUGGGCAAAUGGUAGACUAAUCCCUCUGCCGUCCCUAUAAUUAUCUCAAAUCUCUUCUCCCAGUUAAGUGCUUUACCUUUAUUUGCAUC